GACGAAGGAUGCAAGCGUUAUCCGGAUUCAUUGGGUUAAAGGAGCGUAGGUGGUCUUAUAAGUCAGUGGUGAAAUCUCUGGGCUUAACCCAGAAAUUGCCAUUGAUACUGUAGGACUUGAGUAUAGUUGCCGUUGGCGGAAUAUGACAUGUAGUGGUGAAAUACAUAGAGAUGUCAUAGAACACCGAUUGCGAAGGCAGCUAACGAAACUAUAACUGACACUGAGGCUCGAAAGUGCGGGAUCAAACAGG
rnacentral:rRNA from 1 species